GUGUGUCCUGGCGAACGCGCGGGUUGCCUUCAUUCACUGCGCCCUGGAUAGGCAUUCGGACAUUUUGGGCGGGUGACGUUGCCGAGUCCCCGCCACGGGAAGUGAGGGAGGGGCUGGAGCGGGCCGGUUUGCACUGGCCUCGGUCGGCUGGCGGGGCGGAGGCUCUUAGGGGCAGCACAAACAGUCGUGAGUUCGCUUCUGCCCACAGGUCCUGCUUCCACAAGGAUAAGACAGAUCUGUGGUUUGAUUAGAAACAAACCUGAGGAACAGAGGUAUCUGUCAUGGAAGGAGACCUUCUGACCUGAGACCUGUCCCAGAAACUGGAGAGUCCUGGAAAAGAGUGGAUGCUGGAGGUGCUGGACCUACAGACUAUCUUGACCAUCCUGCCCAGAGCAGGAACGAUCUCAAUGACAUCUCACAUCUUCAGAAAUCAGCAAUAGCUGUGUGACAAUGGAGCGUUUGACCCAGAUGAUGGAAAGGAGAGUUUGGCGUUCUCGGGACUCUGCACUUUCCAAGGAAGAGGAUACAGCUAGGUCUCUU